rnacentral:misc_RNA from 1 species
UGCGGGCUUCAUGUGUUUGAUCUUUUUGUUAAGUGGCCGAUUAAUAAUAACUCCGAAGGGCCCCUCCUGUGGAUGUCUAGUUCCUGAUCUGAGAAGGAGAACAACCGUCCUCUCAAAGGCACGAACCCCAUCAAGUUUUUCGGUGGCAACAAGGACGCAGCCAGUCUCAGGCACUGAGAUAGGGUGGGCCCAUUUCAGGCCAAGUGGUUUGGAAUCUUGGGGUGUCCCACCGUGGUUGGCAGCAUCAGUCUCUGCAAUCUGUGCCUGCUCUUGAAUAACCAUUUUCGCUCUGAACUCUCUCCAAUCCCAAUUUAUACGAUGGGACUUCUGGGAAGCAUUAUCAUUAGAUCUUUUUCCAUCAGGAGAGUUGCUUCCUUUGGAACCAUCUCCUUCUGGAUUAGAUCGAUCACCAUUUCCGUUAUUAUUCUUCUUAGCCAUGGCUCUGAUAACCAACGAAUGAUACCCAUAGCAGGAAGAAGAAGAAUAAGAGAGCUUCCCCCCCAAAAUCCUGAUCUCGAAUACCCCAACUUUUCCAAAAUUCCAGGAAUUUGAUUUCACGGGAAUCAUUGAAUAGUUCCUGACCCAAAAGGGGCUAUGAGUUGAAUUCUUGACAUGCAGUGCCCAAGGAUCCAUGCCUCCAAAAUUAAAAGGAAAAGGAAAAAAGAUUAGAACUUGCCAGGAAAAUGAAUAGAAAGAAUAAGUGAGCGGAGGAAUUUUCAGAUUUUUUUUUUUUUUUUUUUUUUUUU